UUUCAAUUCCAGUCAAUUCAGAAAGUUAACCCCUUGAUAAGCAUUGAAGAGAAUUGGAAUUUCAGUGUUCCUGAAUUGUCUGGAAUUGGGGUCAGUAUACUGAGGGAAAUGUAUUAUUAUGGCUGACUGUGUGAUGUCAUGUUUCAUAUUGCCUGUCAGUGCACAACAAGCAGCACCUUGGCCAAGCUUUCCAAACUCAUUACAUCUAUGAAGACCCUGGCAGUCAGAGCACUGAAGGAUAUUUCUGCUCAAGUCAAGAGCAACCCUGAUAGGGAGAGUAUGUCCAAGGAUGGAACGGUUCAUGAAUUCAACAGCAAUACAAUUCUAUUCCUGCAGCAGUUGCUGUCCUUUGCAGAUGCUGUUCGGUCCAUCCUUUAUCCUCAUGAUGUAGACAGUGACACAGUAACUAUGGAGGUGUCCAGUAGUGUUCAGGUGGACAUUCAACACGACACUGAUGCAGAUGAAUCAGAAGAACAGCCAUCAGACAGUCAGGAGUCCAAGGGGAAUGACAAUCAGAGAGCACUGAGUCCUUAUGUCUGUGAGUGUUCAACAUGGCUGUGUCUAAUAUCCAGAAUGAUACCUUUGACAAGGGCAAGACGCUGAACCGUUGGGUCUUAAUGCGUCCGCAUGCUUCAGUUCAGCUGGCGGCUAGCCGAAGUCGAGUGUGCUCGCAUACUCCCUUAAAAGACCUUCGCUUGAAAAACGAGAAAAAAGCGUCAAUAGUACUGUUUGUCCAUUUUGAGACACUGUAGCCAGUUUAAACUUCCUCAAAUAGUCAGAAUUAAAUCUAAAAUAACUAAAGAAUUCUGUCAUUAAUUUAGAAGUUUUUGCAGAGAUCUUAGUCGGGCAACUUUACAUCUAACUAAUAUGUUUGGUGCAGUGUUUCUCAAUGAAAAAAUGUGCAUAAAAACGAGUCGUCUCUCAUUGAACGCCAACAAAGACUUUACUGAAGAAUCGCUACUGUUUACCAAUCACCGACGAAGGGGCAUAGACUUCGGCUACCAACUUCGGCUUGCCUCAAGAAAAAAAUGUGUGCCCGAACAACUGAA
rnacentral:lncRNA from 1 species